rnacentral:rRNA from 1 species
UCCUACGGGGGGCAGCAGUGAGGAAUAUUGGUCAAUGGGCGAGAGCCUGAACCAGCCAAGUCGCGUGAGGGAAGACGGUCCUAUGGAUUGUAAACCUCUUUUGCCGGGGAGCAAAAAGCGGUACGUGUACCGCAUCGAGAGUACCCGGAGAAAAAGCAUCGGCUAACUCCGUGCCAGCAGCCGCGGUAAUACGUAGGGGGCAAGCGUUAUCCGGAUUUACUGGGUGUAAAGGGAGCGUAGACGGCAGCGCAAGUCUGGAGUGAAAUGCCGGGGCUCAACCCCGGAACUGCUUUGGAAACUGUGCA